CCCCAAAGAGUCCACAUCGACGGGGAGGUUUGGCACCUCGAUGUCGGCUCAUAACAUCCGGGGGCUGUAGUAGGUCCCAAGGGUUGGGCUGUUCGCCCAUUAAGGUGGUACGCGAGCUGGGUUCAGAACGUCGUGAGACAGUUCGGUCCCUAUCCGUCGCAGGCGUAGGAAAUUUGAGAAGACCUGUCCUUAGUACGAGAGG
rnacentral:rRNA from 1 species